rnacentral:rRNA from 1 species
UACGGAGGGUGCAAGCGUUGUCCGGAAUCACUGGGCGUAAAGGGCGCGUAGGCGGCCUGGUAAGUAGGGGGUGAAAUCCUGCGGCUUAACCGCAGGGCUGCCUUCUAAACUGUCAGGCUUGAGCACGGUAGAGGCAGAUGGAAUUCCCGGUGUAGCGGUGGAAUGCGUAGAGAUCGGGAAGAACACCGGUGGCGAAGGCGGUUCUCUGGGCCUUAACUGACGCUGAGGAGCGAAAGCGUGGGGAGCAAACAGG